AUUGAAAGCUGGCGGCAGGCUUACCACAUGCAAGUCGAACGAGUGGCGGACGGGUGAGUAAUGCUUGGGAAUCUAGCUUAUGGAGGGGGAUAACUACGGGAAACUGUAGCUAAUACCGCGUAACAUAGGAUGAGCCCAAGUGGGAGUAGGUAGUUGGUGAGGUAAAGGCUCACCAAGCCGACGAUCUCUAGCUGGUCUGAGAGGCUUACCAGCCACACUGGGACUGAGACACGGCCCAGACUCCUACGUGAGGCAGCAGGGGGGAAUAUUGCACAAUGGGCGAAAGCCUGAUGCAGCCAUGCCGCGUGUGUGAAGAAGGCCUUCGGGUUGUAAAGCACUUUCAGCGAGGAGGCGUUACUCGCAGAAGAAGCACCGGCUAACUCCGUGCCAGCAGCCGCGGUAAUUC
rnacentral:rRNA from 1 species